GAAAUGCGAUAAGUAAUGUGAAUUGCAGAAUUCAGUGAAUCAUCGAAUCUUUGAACGCACAUUGCGCCCGCCAGUAUUCUGGCGGGCAUGCCUGUUCGAGCGUCAUUUCAACCAUCAAGCCCCGGCGCUUGUGUUGGGGACCCGCGGCUGCCGCGGGCCCUUAAAGACAGUGGCGGUCCUCGCUGCAGCACCGAGCGUAGUAGCUAUACACCUCGCCCUGGGAGCUGCGCGUGCGACCACGCCGUAAAACCCCCCACCUCUCUCUCAGGUUGACCUCGGAUCAGGUAGGGAUACCCGCUGAACUUAAGC
rnacentral:misc_RNA from 1 species